UACUGAAUCAUUCCAUCAUACAAGCCAGAAAUUUAUAUCCAGUCCUUAGAACAGAUAUAUCCAUUUAAUUUGUAACGUAUACCAUGAAAAAUUCAGGAACACAUUAAGCUGAAGUUUUCUUCUCAGUCAAAACUUGUCCAGUGUAUGAGGCCCUCUCUAGGUACUGGAAAGCUGCUGUAAAGGCUCCCUUGACCCUUCUCCAGGCUGAACAACCCCAGCUCUCUCUCAAGGCCCCAGAGCUGGAUAGAGUACUCCACAUGGAAUCUGGUUACCAGCAUGGAGAAGAGGAGGAGAAUCACUUUCCUAAACAUGCAGGCUGUGCUUCUUGUGGUGAACCCAGGAAACAAUUGGCUUUUUGGGCUGCAAGCAUACAUUACUGGGUCAUACUAACUUUUCAUUAACCAACAUACCCACACCCUUCUACUCAGGGAUGCUCUCAAAUCCAUGCCUGUAUGUGUGCUUGGAAUUUUCCUGACAUAGAUGCAAGACCUUGCACUUGGUCUUGCUGAAACCCAUGAUGUUGGCACAGGCCCACUUUAGGCCUGUUGAAGUCCCUUUGGACAUCAUCCUUUCCCUCAAGACCAUUAACUGCAGGUGUCAUCUGCAAACUUGUUGAGGGUGCUCUUGUCCCACUUUCCAUGUCACUGACAAAGAUGCGAAACAACCCCAGUUCCAGCGCUGAGCCCCAAGGAAUGCUGUUUGCCCCUGGUCUCCACCUGGACAUCAGCGCUCUUGAAACAGAGCUAAAGGAAAAUAGCAGGUCUGAAGUGUGCUACCAGUGCUAGCUGCUUUCUGCUGAGCUGCAGUGACCAUUUUCAAAUCCUUUCAAUCUGUGGUGAAAAGAUCAUUACCAUGCUAGUCCCAGGAACUCAGUCCUCCUGCAAGCUCACAAAAAAAUCCCAUCAGCUUGCUGUCAAUUCAGGGCUCUGCUGAACCAUUCAUGACAGAAGACCUAGAGGAAAUCCUGUUAUUAAAACAUUGGGGUACCUCCACACCAGAAGAAGGACAGAUUUCAGCAGGAAUGUCUCUCUCUAAGGCAUAUUGAUUACCUCAUUUGUUACCAAGGGAAAGGGAACUAAGCACAGAGAGGAAAUCUAACCAAUAUCUCCCAGAGAAACUGUGGAGACUCCUUCGCCAGAGAUUUCAAGAACCAACUGGACUCCAACCUGUGCUCUUGGAUGACCCUGUAAAGGAAAGAGUAAUUUCUUCGUACACUGUGCCAAGUUCAUGGGCUGCUCCUAUGGUGUUCCACAGAACUACUUGCAGAAUAUGAAGGGGUCACCUGUACUACUUUUUCCUGGAGAUCCAUAUAGGACUUGUGAAGCCAUCUUAAGGAAAAAAGGCAAAGAAAAAAGAAAGCAUGAAGGAAAAAUGAACCAAAAUGUACUAAAACCACAGGUAGACAGACAUCUCACUUCUCUUACUGGAAAUCUGGACUUGCCAAUCAGUUAAGAAAUGAACUACAUGAAUAACUUCAUGCCCGUGGGGCAAAAAAAAUUCAUUACUUAUCUGUGCAUCACAAGCCAGAAGCAAAGAGGUGUUGUUAUUAAGCCCUCUUCAAGAGGACAGGCUGCAUUCCUUCACAGUCCUGAAGAUCCUCAGGAAAGGCACUACAUUUAAGCUAGACAGCAAGUCCUGCCGCAGGCUGGCGUACACUAACCUGAGAUGAGCAUCUGAUAAGAACUAACUAAAAAUUGAGACUUCAGAAUGAACAUGCAAAGAAUGGAGAUCCAAGUUCAUCUGAACAAUAUGUGAAGGCAAUGGCAUAACAAGGAAUGGUAGUAUUUUCCAAAUUAACAGUUCAGACAAAGAGACAGUGAUUGCUCACAAAUCAUUUCAUUUUCUGAAAAUAAUGGAAGCAAGAGAAGCAAGCCACAUCCUUAAAAGAGAGCACAAAGGUUUCAGAUCUGCUGAGCAAAGGACACCUUUCAUGGCAAAGCACUAAUUUCUUUAAUGUGGAGAUGCAGAAAGCAUAGACUAAGAGAAAAACAUUACAGGAUGGACAACUCUGCCCUGAGAAGAUAUAGAAAUACUCCCGGCCUGGCCUGAACUCAAAUCCCAGUGAGAAGGGCGUGAAGAGCUGGAACUUCUCGGAGAACUUCAAUGGUCCAUUUGGGGAAUGCGGCCGAUUACACUCCCACCUCUUGAACCCUU